AUUGAGGCAGAUUUUGAUAAAGAGAAUGGGUGCCAUACAUCAGACCUCACAUUAAAUCAGGGAUGAAUCGAGAGAUGUCGUCCUCUGUUGCUGGUCUAUCUGUAUGAAUAAGAGAAAGAGCUUAUCCAGGAGUGCAAUUGUGGGAAUGCACAGAGAAUUGCUGUCUGUCAGAGGGAUGACCAACCAUGAGGACUUCUGCAUUGUCUUGGAGGAUAAGUGAGUCAUGGCUAGCCUGGAAAAUCUAGAAUCGCUGAACUGGAUUUAUACAAAUAUUCCACAAAUUAAAAUCACUUACAAAGAAAUGAAUAUUAAGUUUGCAAUACACAAAUUCUGUCAAAUAUUGUCUAAAAUGUGACUAUUCCUACAAAGGAAAGUUGACAGGUCAGUUUUUUCCAUGACAUGGAUAAAGGAAUUUUUAUCAGAGAUUAACA